UCCUGACCCUGAACCAUUCGGUGUGGGUGGUGUUUACACGUGUCCCUGCUGCAGCUACAGUAGUAAGCUGCAGUUUAAUUUCAAAACUCAUAUGAGCAACCACCUCAAACAGGCAGUGCGGCAUGAAGGUUACUUCAUAUGCAAGUGUAAUCGCCAGUGCAGAACAGCUGCACACUUUCACUGCCUGUACUGCGGUCACACAAUCUUACGGAAAGAACAGUGUCAACUACAUCUAUCCCAAUGCAACAUCCAUACAAGCAGAGCACUUCCGUCACCUACUGCUUCUCCCGUUCCUCCCCUUUCUGGAAGUAAUGCUGGUACACAGCAACAAAUUAAAGCGGGGUCUCCUUCAUCAUCACCAACACCAGCAGCAACCUCCCUCCUCUCUCUUCCUCCUAAAUGCCCCGAGCGGCCACCACCUCAGAGCCAGAGACCCACAGUGAAAUGUCGUCACUGUGGGUUAACCCUGAGAAGGCGCAACUUGAGGUUGCACCUGCGAAGAAAACAUAAAACGGUAAGGGAGGCCAUCACAGCAGCCCAUCAGCCCAGAGCGCAAUGUUUGACCAACAACGGUGUGUUUGCUGUGGCAAAGUCCUUCACUGCCCUCACCUGCUUCCCCUUUCAUGUUAAGAAUAAAACCUGGGGUCAACACUUGCGAGGUGGACAUUUGC